AUUUAAAUAGCUUAAAUUUUAAAGCGUAACAUUGAAGAUGUUAUUAUGAUUGUGUAAUCUUUAAAUA
rnacentral:tRNA from 1 species